CCAUUUAAAAUUGGCAUGUAAUCUGAUAUACAUUACCUUCUAAUAUUACAUAUGGAAUUUUAAAAUGAAUUAUUACAAAUUAAUAAAAAGUAAAACUAAAAGGAUAGGUUUUCGUUUUUCUGUUUUGCCUCCAUGCUUCUUUCAUUUGUCUCCAAGCUUCUUUCAUUUGUCUCAGUGUUAAAAAACCUAGGGUUUUAGGAAGAAGAGCGAGGAGUGUGACGACGACACCAUCCAUCUCUACGACCUCUCCACCGCCUCCUCCCUCAGUUCCCUUCACCAACACUCUGCCUUUGUCACCGCCUUCUCCUUCUACGCCCCUACCAAUCUUUCGUUCCCCCGCAACCUCAUCUCCGCCAACGUCGCUGGCUCUCUCACCAUUUUUUACGCGGACGGCUUCGUCCAUCUUACUACGCUUUUCUUCCACUACCACGGCGCUAUCAACGACCUUGCCCUGAACCGUUCGGUGAGUGCGCCCUCACCGUUGCUUGUGACAACUGCCUCGCCAUCAUCAACCUCGUCCGCGGUCGCCGCAACUGCUUCUUGCGCCUCGACAAGGAAGCUACUCUGGUCAAGUUUAAUGUGUCCGGCGACCACUUUUUUAUGCAAAGAAGAAGGUUUCUGUCCACCACUUUUUGUUAAGCUUUAUGGGAUUCUUGUGAUGCAUCUUUAGGAGAUCUUCAUUGUGCUACCGGUGUUGCGUUUAGGGGGUGUUGCAUUUAGGGAAGAUUCAGAGGGCUUUUAAGGUAUGUUUUGUUUUAUGUGUUUGGUGAUUGAGAAUAUUAUUGAAUGAGUCGCAAAUGCAAGAUCACAGGUACAAAAUGGUAGAGCAAAAUCUUAUCAGUGAGAAGGUGUUUUCCUUUUUGUUGAAUGGGUAUCCAAAUGCGAAAAAAGGUGGUGAAAUGGUUUUCGGUGGUGUUAACCUAAAGCACUUUAAAGGAGACCACACUUAUAUUCCAGUUACUAAAAAAGGUUACUGAUUGAAAUUGGAGAGUUUUUCAUUGGAGGUGCUUCUACAGGUGUUUGUGAGGGUGGUUGUGCUGCUAUUGUGGAUUCAGGAACAUCUUUGCUUGCUGGUCCAACCUUAUGUGCUUCGAUACUGGAAAAUUAUUCAAAAAUUGAAGAGGCUAAAAUAGAGGAGCUCAUGAAGGCAGUAGCAGAUUCUAGUGCCAAAGUGAUUGUUAAUGGAGGAGUAGUUGGAGAGAUGGCUUUGCAUUUCUGUGACCGUUAAGAGCUUAUGGUUCUGAAAAUCAGCUCAAAGUUUGAACUAUGACGAUUUUGCAGAACAACUGAUUCUGUUGCUAUGUUGAAACUCAGCCAACCGAAUGCAAAUGAUCUUGGAUAUGUGGAUUCUGUUUCAGUUCAGGAAAUUGGUGGUGUCAGGGUAUGUUCAAACCGGAAUGAGCUCUGUUGUCUUCUUUGUUCCACGUUUCUUGUUUAUACUAGUAAAAGAAAAUAUGUUAUGCACGAGAAAAUACACUGGUUUAUUCCAACUAUGGUGUGCACUUAAUUGAUUGGAGGCAUUUCUUUUAAAAGCAAUUUAAUGCUUAAGCUAAUUGAAAUAUGGAUUAAUUGUUUGGAGGCACAAGCAGAAGCCAUUAACCCUUGAUUCACUUUAAAAUAGUUGUUCAUUAUGAUGUUCACUUUAAAUAUUCAUUAAAGUAUUACUAAGAUUUGAUAUUAAAGAGCAUGUUUUCGAAUACAUGUCUAAUCAAAGUAGAGUAUUAUUUGGAUUGAUGUAUUCCGUGAUUUGGUUUAUAGAUUCGUUUGCCAUAGGAGUUUAUAGAUUCAUUUGACUUGGCGUGGAGAUGGAAACAGCAGCAAUGGCAGAGGAGGCACAAGCAGAAGCCAUUAACCCUUGAUUCAAAAUAUAAAUUUUUUGUUCAGUGAGUGACUAUCUUUGCUUCUGUGUAUAUGUUUGAUGAUUAAUGGCAAAGAAA